UAAAAGUCCAUGGUGGUGACAAUAAGUCUAUUUAGUUUUUAUUCAUUUUAAUUUCAGUUUUAUUUUUAGUUUUUUUGGAACAUCAAGUUAAACUAAAUAAAAUUAAGAAACGUUACCUUUUCAAAACUAGAUAAAAAUAAGUUUUAUAUUUAUUUAUAUAUUACUUCAGUUAAUGUUUAUUUAAUUUCAAGUAACUUUCUCUCUCUCUCUCUCUCUCUCUUUCUUUUUUAUGGUUUUAGUUAACUUUAAUAACCCUGUUCUCAAUCAAGGGUCCAAGGCUCUCACUAGGGGUCCUCUUCAAAUUCCUAAGGGAGCACCAAGAUCUAAUUUGUUUUACAGACACCUUCUCCCUCGAGGGAUGUCUGGCUGAGACUGACUGUGAAUAGUGGACUUCUUGAUUGGAGUUAAGGCUGUUGGUGAGGAAUAACCAGGGUUUGAUCCGGGCUGACAGGCUCUCCCAGCGGGAAGGGCCCAGCACAUUACCACAGAUCCAUCAGCUGUCCAUCGCUGUAGGUCUCGGCGGUCCCGUGAAACUGUGGCAGGUAUAGAGGCACCUGUCAAGCUCUGAAUGCUGUGAGAAGGUGUGGUGUGCGACGAGGUGUUCCCAGCGGGCCGGUGGAAAGUUCAUGCUGUCAAUGGGACGAAAGAUUGGUGCAUGUUCGUUGUACUUGUUAGAGGACGAUGUUUUAUGUAUCAGCUGGUUAGAAAAAGUCAGAAGAGAUUGGCUUCAGUGAGGACUGGGGCUAUGUUUAAUUGUGGCAGGUUUGAAAUCAUUAUUUAAAAUAUUACUGGUUCUUAUCAUUGACAGCAGCAGUUUUGGGGGUAACACAUUACAGGUACCGCGAGUAACGCAAUAAGAUUACUUUUUUAGUAGUAACAAGUAAUGUAAUGCAUUACUUUUUAACUUGCAAGAGAGCAGCAGCAGUUAAUUUGUUUUCUCAUGCAUUGACUGUAGCUCCCCUGUGCUCAUGUUGAGUUGAAUCAGGAGUGAUUCCUAAAUAAAAAAACUAAUAAAAAUCAGUGAAAAGCGAAAUCAGUAUAUUGCAAUAAAUAAUUGAUAACACUAAAAUUUGUUUAAGCACUGAAUCCCAUUUUAUUAACCAGUGCCUUUACUGCUGACCAUUGAUGAUCUGAUUCAAC
ensembl:lncRNA